rnacentral:lncRNA from 1 species
UCUUACUUCUUUCAAAGAACCAACUCCUGGUAUUGUUGAUUGUUCUACAGUUCUUUCUGUCUCUAUUUCAUUGAGUUCUGAUUGAAUCCUUAUUAACUCUCUUCUUCUGCUGGGUGUAGGUGUUAUUUGCUGUUCUUUUUCCAGUUCCUUUAGAUGCAAGGUUAGCUUGUGUAUUUGAGUUUUUUCCGAUAUUUUGAUGGAGGCUUGUAUUGCGAUGCAUUUCCCUCUCAGGACUGCUUUUGCUGUAACCCAAAGAUUUUCUUCAUAUUCAUUAGUUCCCAUGAAUCUUUUUAAUUUUUCUCAAUUUACUGUUUGACCCUUUCAUCUUUCAGCAGGAUGGUCUUUAACCUCCACGUGUUUGAAUUUCUCCAAAUUUCUUCUUGUGAUUGAGUUCAAGUUUCAAAGCAUUAUGGUCUGAACAUAUGCAGGGGACAAUCCCAAUCUUUUGGUAUCUGUUAAGACCUGAUUUGUGACCCACUAUGUGGUCUAUUCUGGAGAAAGUUCCACAUGCACUUGAGAAGACGGUGUAUUCAGUUGUGUUUGGAUGUAAAGUUCUGUAAAUAUCUGUGAAAUACAUCUGGUCCAGUGUAUCAUUUAAACCUCUUGUUUCUUUGGAGAUGUUGUGCUUAGAAUAUCUGACAUUUGCAGAAAGUGCUGUGUUGAAGUCUCCCACUUUUAGUGUAUUAUUAUCUAUGUCUUUACUUUGGUUAUUAGGUGAUAUACCUGGCAGCUCCCACAUUAGGGGCAUAAAUCUUCAUGACUGUUAGGUCCUCUUUUUGGAUAGAUCCUUUAAGUAUGAUAUAGUGUCCAUCUUAAUCCCUUCCUACAGUCUUUAGGAUAUACUUUGAUUUAUCUGAUAUGAGGAUGGCUACCACAGCUUUCUUUUGAGGACCAUUUGAAUGGUAAAUCGUUCUCCAACCUUUCAUUUUCAGGCUGGAGGUGUCCUAGGUCUAAUAUGUGUCUCUGGUAGACAGAAAAUAGAUGGGUCUUGCUUUUAUAUCCAGUGUGCAGCCUUGCGUCUUUUCAUGGGAUCAUUAAGCCCAUUCACAUUCAGAGUUACUAUUGAAAGAUAUGAAUUUAGUGUCAUCAUAAUACCUAUUCAGUCCCUGUUUUUUUGUGCCUGAUUUCUUUGGGCUUCCUCUUUCUUUUCCAGAGUCCCCCUUACUAUUUCUUGUACAGCUGGUUUGGUGGUCACAUAUUCUUUCAGUUUCUGCUAUUAUGGAAGAUCUUUAUCUCUCCUAUUCUGAUGAGAGCCUUGCUGGAUAGAGUAUUCUUGGCUGCAGGUUCUUCUCAUUUAGGAUGGUGAGUAUAUCCUGCCAGCACUUUAUGGCCUGCCAGGUCUCUGUGGAGAGGUCUGCUAUUAAUCUAAUAUUUCUCCCAAUAUAAAUUAGGAAUCUCUUGUCUCUUGCCUCUUUAAGAAUUUUCCUUUUAUCUUUGGAAUUUGCAAGUUUCACUACUAAAUGUCUGGGUUUUGAAUGUUUUUUAAAUUGAUUUUAGGGGAAAUCUGUCUAUCUUCUGGAUCUGAAUGCCUGUUUCCCUCCACAAGUUAGGGAAGUUCUCAGCUAUGAUUUGUUCAAAUAUGCUUUCUGGUCCUCUGUCUCUUUCAGAGCCAUCUGGAACCCCAAUUAAACGUAGAUUCUUCCUUCUGAGGCUGUCAUUUAUUUCCCUUAAACUUUCCUCAUUAUCUUUAAUUGUUUUUCUCUUUUUUACUCAGCUUACUACCUUGCCAUCAACUUGUCUUCUAUGUCACUCACUCGUUCUUCUACCUCAUUAACCCGCAUCAUUAGGACCUCCUUUUUGGAUUGCAUGGCAUUUAUUUGAUUUUUAAUUUGAGCCUGAUUAGAUCUAAAUUCUGCAGUCAUGGAGUCUCUUGAAUCCUUUAUGCUUUUUUCAAGAGCCAUCAGUAGCUCUAUAAUUGUCCUUCUGAAUUCAUUUUUUAAAAAGAUUUUAUUUGUUUAUUCAUGAGAGAGACAUGGGCGGGGGCAGAGACACAGGGAGAGGGAGAAGCAGGCUCCAUGCAGGGAGUCUGAUCUGGGACUCUAUCCCAGGUCUCCAGGAUCAGGUCCUGGAUUGAAGGUGGCACUAAACCACUGAGCCACCUGGGCUGCACCCUAAAUUGGUUUUCUGACAUCAAAUUGUAAUCCAAAUUCUGUAACUGUGUGGCGGAGAGUACUGUUUCUGAUUCUUUCUUUUGUGGCGAGUUCUUCUUUCUAGUCAUUUUACUCAGUGCAGAGUGGCUAAAAACGAGUUGUUGGAUAAAGGAAGAAAAA